rnacentral:rRNA from 1 species
UACAGAGGUCUCAAGCGUUGUUCGGAUUCAUUGGGCGUAAAGGGCGCGUAGGCGGCCCCGUAAGUCAGGCGUGAAAUUUCGGAGCUUAACUCCGAAACUGCAUUUGAUACUGCGGUGCUUGAGGACUGGAGAGGAGACUGGAAUUCACGGUGUAGCAGUGAAAUGCGUAGAUAUCGUGAGGAAGACCAGUGGCGAAGGCGGGUCUCUGGACAGUUCCUGACACUGAGGCACGAAGGCCAGGGGAGCAAACGGG